rnacentral:lncRNA from 1 species
AAAUUUUCUAGAAGUUUCGUUUGAUUCUAGGAUAUUGGUUUUCUCCUUAAUAAGGUUGGGUUGGGUGGUGGGGAGGAGGCUGAGAGGAGACAGAGCUGUGUGUAAAUAAGAUCCUUUUAGUUUUCCCACAGCCAAUCCAAGCCAGAUUCAGUAGCUGCAAGAUCAGAGACAAUUGAUAAAGCCUCGAAAGAGCGCAGCUCCUGCCUCCGUUAGGAUCUAUGCACAUGAGACAAUUUUUGCCACUUCCUGAAGUCACACUGUCAUUUUCAGAAGGCAGCUGGUGCUUUGCUGGGGCUCCCGUGCUGUGCAGAGCUGCUGUCCUCAGUCAAGGAGAUGCCCUGGCUCACGCCAGCCAUUGGCCACGGUUCAGGGAACAGAGCAAAGCACAGUGUUUGAAUUUGCUCAUUGUCAAUUUGCUGGUUGUGUUCUCUACAGUUUUAUCUUCAGCAUUUUUGAAAAUAUAUGAUACAUAUUUUAAUAAGUAUAAUCGGUUUGUUCCAGGAAUUCUUGGUUUUUUGAUGAUGGACCAAAUUCCUGAAUUAUUUAUAACUAUAGCUAAAAAUUAUUAUGUACUCAUCACAUGGCACUUGAAAUCCUUGAAUCUUUAAAUUGAUUCCAGUAAAGCAAAACUUGGGAAGAGUCAGAACUGCCCGUAUUGUCCAUAAGGAAUCCGUAGUUUGACGUGCGUCAUUUUAAAAAGCCUCCCAGAUGGAAGGCAUGUUCACAGUCACUGCCCCAAGUGUUUUGUGUUACUCAGGCAUCAUCAUGAAUAAUUCUGUGAGGUCCUGAUGUAUUUGAAAAGCCUGGAAGCUGAUAACUGCUCUGAGUGGCCCCCCAAAUAAGGGUUCUCUGGGACCCUCAGUGGACAAUGUGUUCCUUUCCUUGUUGAGAGGCCUGACCAAGUUUAAGUACUGGGGCAGGUGAAUGAUGCUUUAACCAUGUGCUGCAACUCAUCUCUAGCCUUUGCUGGUGUCUGAGUCAGUCAGGAAGCUUGCUAAAGGCCAGGGGUCCUCCGCUGGCCACACAGCUGUCUCAGGACAAACCCCCUCUUUGGCCACUGUGACCACAGAAGACCCAGGACCAUUUACCUCAAACAAUAAUACAGGGCAGUUUUUGUGAGGGCAACAUAAAAAGAAAUUAAGGCUUGAGUUUAAAAGCAACAAGACAACAACAAUUACAGUUUAAACUUUUAUGGAGACAGUCAAGACCACAAGCCAAAGGGCAGAUUGAAAGUGGUGACUUCGAUGCUCAUCUGCCUGUGCCACAGUGUGAGAGAAUAAAUGAUACAUUACAUGGCCCCGCGUGCUGAGACGCUGACGUUGAAAUGGCUGCCGGUUUAUCUUUCAGCAGCCCGAGUUGGGGCACCUUCUCAGUCUGUAACAGCCUCAGUUCCUUCCAACUUCCUGAAAUUUCAAGAUCAAAAUGAUCCUUCCCCAAAUCAUAUGAAUAUAAGAAAGUUUUCUUCCUCUGCCAUCGGGGUGGUCUGCCCAUCCGGGGAACAUGUAAGGGCUCGUGUGUAUGUGCUGGGAUGUCCUAAGACCUUUAAAGUCAUUAUCACCGUUAAUUCUUAUAGCAACCUUAGGAUGUGGGUGUUUGUAGAUGGCCAAACUGAGCCUUAGGAAACUAAUUAACUUCCUCAAGGCACAGAGCUGGUAAGCAGUGAAGCAACAGUAGCACUUGGAGAUAGGUAGAACGCUCGUAACUGGUGUUCUUUCUAAAGUGCCUUUAAUGUCUUUUUGGGACUUUGAGCCAUGGAACUUACUAGUUCACUUAAGAACUCGUGGUCGCCUUGGGAGUCCUUCCUGGAGAGUCAGAGAAACUGAGCCUCGGGAAUCUUGACUUCCCACUGCCGGAGGUGAGCCCCACUGUCCCGCGGCCGUCAAGGAUGGGCUCAGACAGGCUGAAGCCCACCUGCCCACCCACCACUGUCCCAACCAACCAUUCACUCCCAAUCCACCACAACAGCCUUGCCAGGAGCAACCACUUACUGCCUAACUGCGGGGCACGUUUUCUUGAAAAUCCCCAUCCAACUGGUGUUUUUCAGAAAGCAUUCGAGAGAGCAACCUAGCACUCAUUGGUCA